rnacentral:lncRNA from 1 species
GUGGUUUUGCCUAUUUUGCAGUAGGAUAAAAAAAAAAAAAUUGUAAUGCAACUGUUCGUGUUUGAAUACCUAAUUGAUCUUUCAAACGUGUAUUUCUCAAGUGUGACAUUCGAUUUGUUAACAUUUAUGGUGACGGAUAAACCUCAUCAAAGUCUUGGCUAAUAUCUCUAUCGCCAGCAGUGGUUUUAGCUCCGUCUUCAAUUUCAUAAUAUCGCUCAAUUCAGAUUUGACCGACCUCUCUCUCUCUCUCUCUCACAUUUCGUUUAAACAAUAUCAUUUAAAUAACGACGGGGUUUGGUUCCGCUUUCCAACGCGAUUACACGCCCUCCGUUCCAAAAAAGGUUUCACCCUGCGAUCAAGAUCAAUCUCUCUCCCAGACUCACGUUUACCUUUGAACCCCGGCGGUGGCUUUAGGAGCGUGACACCACUCCAUCCACCUUUAUAAACCAACGUGAACUUCUAUCCAGACAGGCACGAUCCCUGGAUCAAAUUCUUCAACAUGAUGGGGAAUUUCUGGAGCCAGUAGAUCUUUUAUAUGACGGAGAGAUGUGGCUGCAUGCCGAAAUAGCACCCUAUUCUCUAUGUAGUAAACUAUUGUUGACCAGGGCCCGGUGGGUAGUAGUGCAGUACAUAGACUAUAGGGUGCUAUUUGGAAUGUAGACAAUGGACUUCCAAUGAGGUGGGGGGAGGAGGACUUCAUCGCCUUUUAGGAACUAUCAGGUUUUUUCCUGUGUUUGAUUUAGUCUACAGAAACAGUAGUUAGUCUAUAAAUGGACUGGUGGGGUGAGAAAGAGAGAGAGGGAGAGAGAGAGAGAGAGAGAGAGAGAGAGAGAGAGAGAGAGAGAGAGAGAGAGAGAGAGAGAGAGAGAAAGAGAGAGAGAGAGAGAGAGAGAGAGAGAGAGAGAGAGAGAGAGAGAGAGAGAGAGAGAGAGAGAGAGAGAGAGGCAGUAGAGUUGGAAAGUGAUUUGAUUCACAGGAGAGAGAGGAGGAUAAUUUUCCCAGCAUGGGUCUGGUUCUAGUUUUAAUGUUGUGCUAUUGUCAAGGGUUUUACAUGGCUGUAACUUCUGAUAUGACCAUACCUGCUGCUGAGAGAAGAGUGGAGAUCUAGGGCUGCUGCUGAGAGAAGAGUGGAGAUCUAGGGCUGCUGCUGAGAGGAGUGGAGAUCUAGGGCUGCUGCUGAGAGGAGUGGAGAUCUAGGGCUGCUGCUGAGAGA